rnacentral:rRNA from 1 species
GUGCCAGCCGCCGCGGUAAUACCGGCAGCCCAAGUGAUGGCCGAUCUUAUUGGGCCUAAAGCGUCCGUAGCUGGCUGCGCAAGUCCGUCGGGAAAUCCACUCGCCCAACGAGUGGGCGUCCGACGGAAACUGUUCGGCUUGGGGCCGGAGGACCCGAGGGGUACGUCCGGGGUAGGAGUGAAAUCCUGUAAUCCUGGACGGACCGCCGGUGGCGAAAGCACUUCGAGAAAACGGAUCCGACAGUGAGGGACGAAAGCCAGGGUCUCCAACCGGAUUAGAAACCUGGUAGUCC